GAUUGGGACAGUACGUGCAGGGCUUGGCUGACUAUGGGUGGCGCAUUUGCGGGCUGUGUGCGCCGAGACGCUUGGCGCAGCAGCGUGAACCUGGUUUUGAGGCCAGCUUGCUGGUACCCGAACUUGGGGGAACGCUAUUUGCUCUGGGUGUAUCAAAUGAACAUGGCUUACGGGCUAAGUUGGGUGUCAAGCUGUUUGCCGGUGGCGGUCACAUGUGGACACGUGCUGUGUAGGCGGUUUGAUCUCUGACGAGCCAACAUGUUCUUUCUCGGUGUAAGAGCUGGUCAUCUCUCCRACCCGUCUUGAAACACGGACCAAGGAGUUUAUCGUGUGCGCAAGUCAUUGGGCGUUGAAAACCCAAAGGCGCAAUGAAAGUGAAUGUCUCCGCAAGGAGCUGAUGUGCGAUCCUGGUCUCUUCGGAGGCCAAGCGCAGCAUGGCCCCAUCCUGACUGCUUGCAGUGGGGUGGAGGAAGAGCGUACGCGGUGAGACCCGAAAGAUGGUGAACUAUUCCUGAGCAGGAUGAAGCCA
rnacentral:rRNA from 1 species